AGGAGGAGAGCAAAGCUAUUGAGCCAGCGAGGAGGAGUGAAGCUGAGCCUGGCCUCGCAUGCUUCCAGAGGACCACCUCCCGAGGCAGAGUCCGUUCCCCCUCGCCUGCCCUCUGCCAGCGCCCCGCUGCCCUCCCUGCCUGCCCAGUACAAUGCAUUCUUGACCGGCAGCGCCUGGACUCCUAGCAGCCCCAGAGAGCCGGAGCGAGCCACCACCGGGAGGAGGACGGGAGCCAAGACACUCUGGUGGGAGUGUUGGAUGCCUGGCACUCUGUGAGGACAUCUCUGGAGCAACGGUGGCUUUGGGGUGGGGGGUGGUGCUGCAGGGAAUCCAGCCAGGCCCCGAGAUGGACACUUCUGGGCACUUCCAUGACUCGGGGGUGGGGGACUUGGACGAAGACCCCAAGUGCCCCUGUCCAUCCUCCGGGGAUGAGCAGCAGCAGCAGCAGCCGCCGCCGCAGCCACCACCAGCGCCGGCAGCACCAGCAGCCCCCCAGCACCCCCCGGGACCCCUGUUGCAGCCUCAGCCUCAGCCUCAGCCUCUGCAGCAGCAGCAGCAGCAGCAGCAGCAGCAGCAGCAGCAGCCACUGCAUCCCCUGUCUCAGCUCGCCCAACUCCAGAGCCAGCCCGUGCACCCCGGCCUGCUCCACUCCUCUCCCACCGCCCUCAGGGCCCCCCCUUUGUCCAACUCCACCGCCACCCUCCACCCUUCCUCCAGGCAAGGCAGCCAGCUCAACCUCAGUGACCAUUUGCUUGGCCACUCUCCAAGUUCCACAGCCACAAGUGGGCCCGGCGGAGGCGGCCGGCACCGGCAGGCCAGCCCCCUGGUGCACCGGCGGGACAGCAACCCCUUCACCGAGAUCGCCAUGAGCUCCUGCAAGUACAGUGGCGGGGUCAUGAAGCCCCUCAGCCGCCUCAGCGCCUCCCGGAGGAACCUCAUCGAGGCCGAGCCCGAGGGCCAGCCCCUCCAGCUCUUCGGCCCUGGCAACCCCCCGGAGAUCGUCAUCUCCUCCCGGGAGGACAACCAUGCCCACCAGACCCUGCUCCACCACCCCAAUGCCACCCAGAACCACCAGCACGCCGGCACCGCCCCCAGCGGCACCACCUUCCCCAAAGCCAACAAGCGGAAAAACCAAAACAUUGGCUAUAAGCUGGGACACAGGAGGGCCCUGUUCGAAAAGAGAAAGCGGCUGAGUGACUAUGCUCUGAUUUUUGGGAUGUUUGGAAUUGUUGUUAUGGUGAUAGAGACCGAGCUGUCUUGGGGUUUGUACUCAAAGGAUUCCAUGUUUUCGUUGGCCCUGAAAUGCCUUAUCAGUCUGUCCACCAUCAUCCUCUUGGGUUUGAUCAUCGCCUAUCACACCCGUGAAGUCCAGCUCUUCGUGAUCGACAACGGCGCGGACGACUGGCGGAUAGCCAUGACCUACGAGCGCAUCCUCUACGUCAGCCUGGAGAUGCUGGUGUGCGCCAUCCACCCCAUCCCCGGCGAGUACAAGUUCUUCUGGACGGCCCGCCUGGCCUUCUCCUACGCGCCCUCGCAGACGGAGGCCGACGUGGACAUCAUCCUGUCCAUCCCCAUGUUCCUGCGCCUCUACCUGAUCGCGCGCGUCAUGCUGCUGCACAGCAAGCUCUUCACCGACGCCUCCUCCCGCAGCAUCGGCGCGCUCAACAAGAUCAACUUCAACACGCGCUUCGUCAUGAAGACGCUCAUGACCAUCUGCCCCGGCACCGUGCUGCUGGUCUUCAGCAUCUCGCUGUGGAUCAUCGCCGCCUGGACCGUGCGCGUCUGCGAGAGGUACCAUGACCAGCAGGACGUGACUAGUAACUUCCUGGGGGCCAUGUGGCUCAUCUCCAUCACAUUCCUCUCCAUCGGCUACGGGGACAUGGUGCCCCACACGUACUGCGGGAAAGGCGUGUGCCUGCUCACCGGCAUCAUGGGCGCGGGCUGCACGGCCCUGGUGGUGGCCGUGGUGGCCCGGAAGCUGGAGCUCACCAAGGCGGAGAAGCACGUGCACAACUUCAUGAUGGACACGCAGCUCACCAAACGGAUCAAGAACGCGGCGGCCAACGUGCUCCGGGAGACGUGGCUCAUCUACAAGCACACCAAGCUGCUCAAGAAGAUCGACCACGCCAAGGUCCGGAAGCACCAGCGGAAGUUCCUGCAGGCCAUCCACCAGCUGCGGAGCGUCAAGAUGGAGCAGAGGAAGCUGAGCGACCAAGCCAACACCCUGGUGGACCUUUCCAAGAUGCAGAACGUCAUGUACGACCUGAUCACCGAGCUCAACGACCGGAGCGAGGACCUGGAGAAGCAGAUCGGGAGCCUGGAGUCCAAGCUGGAGCACCUGGCCGCCAGCUUCAACUCGCUGCCCGCCCUCCUCGCGGACACGCUGCGCCAGCAGCAGCAGCAGCUGCUCUCCGCCAUCCUGGAGGCCCGGGGCGUCAGCGUGGCCGUGGGCACCGCCCGCACCCCGCUCUCCGACAGCCCCAUCGGGGUCAGCUCCACCUCCUUCCCCACCCCGUACACGAGCUCCAGCAGUUGCUAAAUAAACCUCCCCGCCCCGGAAACACUGCCCACAGGUCUUACGAGGCAAGCGGACUCCCUCCUGGCCCCCUCGGCCGUCCAGGAGCACGGAGACCCGGGGAUGCCCAGAGGAGCGUCCGAGCUACGUGACUAACUCAUGCUCAUCCGGCGUGCUUGGUUCGAGAUGCCUUGAAACCAGAAAUCUAAUCUCUGUUUAGGUGCCUCUACUUGGAAGCAGGAAGCUGAGCUGACAGGAAGCGACACCUCUGGCAGGGCCCUUGCCGCAGAGCUGGUGGAGAACAGAAAUCCACGCUCCAUCUCAGCGCCCACACACGAACUGGAGUUCCCUCUGGACAAAAACCAUUAUCCAAUCUUCAACGUAUGACCUCCAAUCUAGGUGCCACGUGCCCCGAGACACGGAUGGACACGCCGAGAGUCCUAUUCCGGGAGCUGUCCCCUCGGACCCGGCCGUGUGUUGAAACAAACAAAAGAUGUUUGGGACCAACCACGCGGAUGAUGGAGGAAAAGCACAAAAUUCAAUCUCAACCUGAAGUGAGGAUCCCAAAGAGAUGCUGGAUGUAUAGCCAAACAAACACACACACAAACAUGGAUGACAAAUCAAAUAUGAAUCUGAUUGGAACAGCCCACGUCCCGAUUCACAGGAGGACAGGGAAUAAAGGACAUUCUCUAACCGUGUCACAUGAUUUCAGUGUUUGAAUCUCAGCUGAGACUGACACGCCUUCACCGGACACUGCGUCUGACAGCACGGCACCUCGGUUCUGGUCCCAGACCCUCCUUGCGCACCGACCAGGAGCGAGCGACAAAGGAGAAUGACCGGAUGUUCAUGGAGGAGACAUUUCCAAUGGCAAACUCAGAGACCGAAGUGUUUAUAUCCAGAAUCAGAUGAGCUUCGAUACGAAUUUGCAUCUUGCCUCUCUGUACUGCUUGCUAUUUUUUAACGAUAGGAGAAAGCAUAUCCGUUUAUUUUAAAUAUGAAAUAUAUUGCUAUAUUACAAAAUAUAUUGUAACUUUCCAUUAA